GCAUUCCUGACCGGCACCUGGCGAGGCUCCUGCGUCCCGUGAGGGCGGUUCCUCGAGCCUGGGGGGCUCAGAUUGCUUUGGAGACGCUGAGAGAACCUUUGCGAGAGCGCCGGUUGACGUGCGGAGUGCGGGGCUCCGGGGGACUGAGCAGCACGAGACCCCAUCCUCCCCUCCGGGUUUUCACAGUGGGCGAAGGGAGGACUCCUGAGCUCUGCCUCUUCCAGUAACACUGAGGAUUACUGUGUUUUGUGAGAGCCCGCUAGGCGCCCUAAGCAACAGAGAGUCAAGCGUCAGCCUCACUGUUCCUCCCGUUGUAAAGCUGGAAAACGGCAGCUCGACCAACGUCAGCAUCGCCCUGCGGCCACCAUUAAAUGCAACCCUGGUGAUCACUUUUGAAAUCACAUUUCGUUCCAAAAAUAUUACUAUCCUUGAGCUCCCCGAUGAAGUUGUGAUGCCUCCCGGAGUGACAAAUUCCUCUUUUCAAGUGACAUCUCAAAAUGUUGGACAAGUUACUGUUUAUCUACACGGAAAUCACU
rnacentral:sRNA from 1 species